rnacentral:rRNA from 1 species
GAUGAACGCUAGCGGCAGGCUUAACACAUGCAAGUCGAGGGGUAGAGUUAGCUUGCUAACUUGAGACCGGCGCACGGGUGCGUAACGCGUAUGCAAUCUACCUUGUACAGAGGGAUAGCCCAGAGAAAUUUGGAUUAAUACCUCAUAGUAUUAUUGAACGGCAUCAUUUGAUUAUUAAAGUCCCAACGGUACAAGAUGAGCAUGCGUCCCAUUAGCUAGAUGGUAAGGUAACGGCUUACCAUGGCAACGAUGGGUAGGGGUCCUGAGAGGGAGAUCCCCCACACUGGUACUGAGACACGGACCAGACUCCUACGGGAGGCAGCAGUGAGGAAUAUUGGUCAAUGGGCGCAAGCCUGAACCAGCCAUGCCGCGUGCAGGAAGACGGUCCUAUGGAUUGUAAACUGCUUUUAUACGGGAAGAAACACUGCUACGUGUAGCAGCUUGACGGUACCGUAAGAAUAAGCAUCGGCUAACUCCGUGCCAGCAGCCGCCGUAA